rnacentral:rRNA from 1 species
GACGAACGCUGGCGGCGUGCUUAACACAUGCAAGUCGAACGGAAAGGCCCUGCUUUUGUGGGGUGCUCGAGUGGCGAACGGGUGAGUAACACGUGAGUAACCUGCCCUUGACUUUGGGAUAACUUCAGGAAACUGGGGCUAAUACCGGAUAGGAGCUCCUGCUGCAUGGUGGGGGUUGGAAAGUUUCGGCGGUUGGGGAUGGACUCGCGGCUUAUCAGCUUGUUGGUGGGGUAGUGGCUUACCAAGGCUUUGACGGGUAGCCGGCCUGAGAGGGUGACCGGCCACAUUGGGACUGAGAUACGGCCCAGACUCCUACGGGAGGCAGCAGUGGGGAAUAUUGCACAAUGGGCGGAAGCCUGAUGCAGCAACGCCGCGUGCGGGAUGACGGCCUUCGGGUUGUAAACCGCUUUCGCCUGUGACGAAGCGUGAGUGACGGUAAUGGGUAAAGAAGCACCGGCUAACUACGUGCCAGCAGCCGCGGUGAUACGUAUGGUGCGAGCGUUGUCCGGAUUUAUUGGGCGUAAAGGGCUCGUAGGUGGUUGAUCGCGUCGGAAGUGUAAUCUUGGGGCUUAACCCUGAGCGUGCUUUCGAUACGGGUUGACUUGAGGAAGGUAGGGGAGAAUGGAAUUCCUGGUGGAGCGGUGGAAUGCGCAGAUAUCAGGAGGAACACCAGUGGCGAAGGCGGUUCUCUGGGCCUUUCCUGACGCUGAGGAGCGAAAGCGUGGGGAGCGAACAGGCUUAGAUACCCUGGUAGUCCACGCUGUAAACGGUGGGUACUAGGUGUGGGGUCCAUUCCACGGGUUCCGUGCCGUAGCUAACGCUUUAAGUACCCCGCCUGGGGAGUACGGCCGCAAGGCUAAAACUCAAAGGAAUUGACGGGGCCCCGCACAAGCGGCGGAGCAUGCGGAUUAAUUCGAUGCAACGCGUAGAACCUUACCUGGGUUUGACAUGGAUCGGGAGUGCUCAGAGAUGGGUGUGCCUCUUUUGGGGUCGGUUCACAGGUGGUGCAUGGCUGUCGUCAGCUCGUGUCGUGAGAUGUUGGGUUAAGUCCCGCAACGAGCGCAACCCUUGUUCACUGUUGCCAGCACGUUAUGGUGGGGACUCAGUGGAGACCGCCGGGGUCAACUCGGAGGAAGGUGGGGAUGACGUCAAGUCAUCAUGCCCCUUAUGUCCAGGGCUUCACGCAUGCUACAAUGGCUGGUACAGAGAGUGGCGAGCCUGUGAGGGUGAGCGAAUCUCGGAAAGCCGGUCUCAGUUCGGAUUGGGGUCUGCAACUCGACCUCAUGAAGUCGGAGUCGCUAGUAAUCGCAGAUCAGCAACGCUGCGGUGAAUACGUUCCCGGG